GGAUCUGGACCUGAACCUGAACCUGAACCUGGACCCAUCUGUACCAUCAUAAAAGCUGAAACUCAUCAACUCAUUAUCAGGAGCCGGUCAAGAAGCCCACCACCAUCUUCCAGAGGGCAUCCAAAGCCAGUGACCUUCAAGAGACCUGGACCUGGACCUGAACCUGAACCUG